rnacentral:rRNA from 1 species
UACACAUGCAGUCGGACGCGAAGGGACUUCGGUCCUGAGUAAAGUGGCGCACGGGUGAGAAACACGUGGAUGACCUGUCCAUACGUUUGGAAUAACGGCUGGAAACGGUCGCUAAUGCCGGAUACGCUCAUGGAGCGAUUUAUAGGGAAAGGGGGCCUCUGGAUAUGCUCCCGCGUAUGGAUGAGUCCGCGUCCCAUUAGCUAGUUGGUGGGGUAAAGGCCUACCAAGGCGAUGAUGGGUAGCUGGUCUGAGAGGAUGAUCAGCCACACUGGGACUGGAACACGGCCCAGACUCCUACGGGAGGCAGCAGUGGGGAAUAUUGCGCAAUGGGCGAAAGCCUGACGCAGCGACGCCGCGUGAGGGAUGAAGGCCUUCGGGUCGUAAACCUCUGUCAGAGGGGAAGAACCUGCGCCGUGCUAAUCAGCGGCGCACUGACGGUACCUUCAAAGGAAGCACCGGCCAACUCCGUGCCAGCAGCCGCGGUAAUACGGAGGGUGCGAGCGUUAAUCGGAAUUACUGGGCGUAAAGCGCGCGUAGGCUGUUUUGUAAGUCAGGGGUGAAAUCCCACCGCUCAACGGUGGAACUGCCUUUGAAACUGCGAGACUGGAGUGCGGGAGAGGGCGGCGGAAUUCCAGGUGUAGGGGUGAAAUCCGUAGAUAUCUGGAGGAACACCGGUGGCGAAAGCGGCCGCCUGGCCCGUAACUGACGCUGAGGCGCGAAAGCGUGGGUAGCAAACAGGAUUAGAUACCCUGGUAGUCCACGCUGUAAACGAUGGAUACUAUGUGCUGGAGAGUAUUUUUCGGUGCCGUAGCUAACGCGUUAAGUAUCCCGCCUGGGGGGAGUACGGUCGCAAGGCUGAACUCAAGAAAUUUGA